rnacentral:tRNA from 1 species
CCGUUGAUAGCUCAGUUGAUAGAGCGGUGGACUGUAGAUCCAUAGGUCGCUGGUUCAAAUCCGGCUCGACGGA